rnacentral:rRNA from 1 species
AACGAACGCUGGCGGCAUGCCUAACACAUGCAAGUCGAACGAGACCUUCGGGUCUAGUGGCGCACGGGUGCGUAACGCGUGGGAACCUGCCCUUAGGUUCGGAAUAACUCCCCGAAAGGGGUGCUAAUACCGGAUAAUGUCUUCGGACCAAAGAUUUAUCGCCUUUGGAUGGGCCCGCGUUGGAUUAGCUAGUUGGUAGGGUAAAAGCCUACCAAGGCGACGAUCCAUAGCUGGUCUGAGAGGAUGAUCAGCCACACUGGGACUGGGACACGGCCCAGACUCCUACGGGAGGCAGCAGUGGGGAAUAUUGGACAAUGGGCGAAAGCCUGAUCCAGCAAUGCCGCGUGAGUGAUGAAGGCCUUAGGGUUGUAAAGCUCUUUUACCCGGGAUGAUGAUGACAGUACCGGGAGAAUAAGCUCCGGCUAACUCCGUG